rnacentral:misc_RNA from 1 species
GAUGAAGAACGUAGCGAACUGCGAUAAGUAAUGUGAAUUGCAGAAUUCAGUGAAUCAUCGAGUCUUUGAACGCACAUUGCGCCCCCUGGCAUUCCGGGGGGCAUGCCUGUCCGAGCGUCAUUGCUGCCCUUCAAGCCCGGCUUGUGUGUUGGGUCGUCGUCCCCCCCGGGGGACGGGCCCGAAAGGCAGCGGCGGCACCGCGUCCGGUCCUCGAGCGUAUGGGGCUUUGUCACCCGCUCGAUUAGGGCCGGCCGGGCGCCAGCCGGCGUCUCCAACCUUCUAUUUUAACAGGUUGACCUCGGAUCAGGUAGGGAUACCCGCUGAACUUAAGCAUAUCAAUAAGCGGAGGA